rnacentral:rRNA from 1 species
CGGAGAGUUUGAUCCUGGCUCAGGAUGAACGCUAGCGGCAGGCCUAACACAUGCAAGUCGAGGGGUAACAGGGAAGCUUGCUUCCGCUGACGACCGGCGAAUGGGUGAGUAACGCGUAUGCAACCUACCUUCUACAGGAGGAUAGCCCGGAGAAAUUCGGAUUAAUACUCCAUAAUAUCGUUUUAACAUAAGUUUUAGCGAAGAAAGCUUUUGCGGUAGAAGAUGGGCAUGCGUCCUAUUAGUUAGUUGGUAGGGUAACGGCUUACCAAGACAUCGAUAGGUAGGGGGCCUGAGAGGGUGAUCCCCCACACUGGUACUGAGACACGGACCAGACUCCUACGGGAGGCAGCAGUGAGGAAUAUUGGACAAUGGAGGCAACUCUGAUCCAGCCAUGCCGCGUGCAGGAAGAAUGCCUUAUGGGUUGUAAACUGCUUUUAUUUAGGAAGAAUCCCCAGUACGUGUACUGGGUUGACGGUACUAUUUGAAUAAGGACCGGCUAACUCCGUGCCAGCAGCCGCGGUAAUACGGAGGGUCCAAGCGUUAUCCGGAAUCAUUGGGUUUAAAGGGUCCGCAGGCGGGAUGAUAAGUCAGUGGUGAAAUUUCUUAGCUUAACUAAGACAUUGCCAUUGAAACUAUUGUUCUUGAAUUCGGUCGAAGUGGGCGGAAUAUGUCAUGUAGCGGUGAAAUGCAUAGAUAUGACGUGGAACUCCGAUAGCGAAGGCAGCUCACUAGGCCUGAAUUGACGCUCAGGGACGAAAGCGUGGGUAGCAAACAGGAUUAGAUACCCUGGUAGUCCACGCUGUAAACGAUGAUUACUCGAUAUCAGCGAUAUAUUGUUGGUGUCCAAGCGAAAGUGAUAAGUAAUCCACCUGGGGAGUACGAUCGCAAGGUUGAAACUCAAAGGAAUUGACGGGGGCCCGCACAAGCGGUGGAGCAUGUGGUUUAAUUCGAUGAUACGCGAGGAACCUUACCAGGGCUUAAAUGCAUAUUGACAGAUUCUGAAAGGGAUUUUUCUUCGGACAAUUUGCAAGGUGCUGCAUGGCUGUCGUCAGCUCGUGCCGUGAGGUGUUGGGUUAAGUCCCGCAACGAGCGUAACCCCUAUCUUUAGUUGCUAACAGGUUAAGCUGAGGACUCUAGAGAAACUGCCAGCGCAAGCUGAGAGGAAGGUGGGGACGACGUCAAGUCAUCACGGCCCUUACGUCCUGGGCUACACACGUGCUACAAUGGUCGGUACAGAGGGCAGCUACCACGCGAGUGGAUGCGAAUCUCGAAAGCCGAUCUCAGUUCGGAUUGGAGUCUGCAACUCGACUCUAUGAAGCUGGAAUCGCUAGUAAUCGCAGAUCAGCCAUGCUGCGGUGAAUACGUUCCCGGGCCUUGUACACACCGCCCGUCAAGCCAUGGAAGCGGGGGGUACCUGAAGUCGGUAACCGCAAGGAGCUGCCUAGGGUAAAACUCGUAACUGGGGCUAAGUCGUAACAAGGUAGCCGUA